GACGAACGCUGGCGGCGUGCUUAACACAUGCAAGUCGAACGGAAAGGCCCUGCUUUUGUGGGGUGCUCGAGUGGCGAACGGGUGAGUAACACGUGAGUAACCUGCCCUUGACUUUGGGAUAACUUCAGGAAACUGGGGCCAAUACCGGAUAGGAGCUCCUGCUGCAUGGUGGGGGUUGGAAAGUUUCGGCGGUUGGGGAUGGACUCGCGGCUUAUCAGCUUGUUGGUGGGGUAGUGGCUUACCAAGGCUUUGACGGGUAGCCGGCCUGAGAGGGUGACCGGCCACAUUGGGACUGAGAUACGGCCCAGACUCCUACGGGAGGCAGCAGUGGGGAAUAUUGCACAAUGGGCGGAAGCCUGAUGCAGCAACGCCGCGUGCGGGAUGACGGCCUUCGGGUUGUAAACCGCUUUCGCCUGCGACGAAGCGUGAGUGACGGUAAUGGGUAAAGAAGCACCGGCUAACUACGUG
rnacentral:rRNA from 1 species